rnacentral:lncRNA from 1 species
CAGGUAAGCAAAACCAAGACGCCAUCGGAGACACCCUUGCCUGCAACGGUUGUGGUAUAAAGCAAGAGAAUGAUGGGAGUUGUGAUCCAUACCUCCGUGUGCAUAAUGGUUGUACCUGCUCCAGGAAGGCGCUGGAUCCUCCCAACUCCAUGGGAAGAGAUUAGGACACAAACAACAGACAGAAGGUGACCACAGGAGGACACAGUGAGAAGCUGGCCAUCUGCAAGCCAAGGAGAGAGACCUCAGGAGAAACCAAACCUGCCAGCACCUUAAUCUUAGACUUCUAGCCCUCAGAACGGUGAGGAAAUAAAUCUCUGUUGUUCAUGCCACCCAGUC